AUGCACGCUGGCGGCGUGCCUAAUACAUGCAAGUCGAGCGAACAGAUAAGGAGCUUGCUCCUUUGACGUUAGCGGCGGACGGGUGAGUUACACGUGGAUAACCUACCUAUAAGACUGGGAUAACUUCGGGAAACCGGAGCUAAUACCGGAUAACAUAUUGAACCGCAUGGUUCAAUAGUGAAAGGCGGCUUUGCUGUCACUUAUAGAUGGAUCCGCGCCGUAUUAGCUAGUUGGUAAGGUAACGGCUUACCAAGGCAACGAUACGUAGCCAACCUGAGAGGGUGAUCGGCCACACUGGAACUGAGACACGGUCCAGACUCCUACGGGAGGCAGCAGUAGGGAAUCUUCCGCAAUGGGCGAAAGCCUGACGGAGCAACGCCGCGUGAGUGAUGAAGGUCUUCGGAUCGUAAAACUCUGUUAUCAGGGAAGAACAAAUGUGUAAGUAACUGUGCACAUCUUGACGGUACCUGAUCAGAAAGCCACGGCUAACUACGUG
rnacentral:rRNA from 1 species